rnacentral:lncRNA from 1 species
GGGGGUAGAGGAGGGGGAAUAAAGCUGUUGUGCUCCUUACAAAUUGAAGUUGCUUCAACUAUUGACUAAGAUAAUCUGCGGAAAAGGGGGAGGCAGAUAUGUAGCAGAUGCUGUGUGUUUGUAAGAGAAGCAUAAUACAUUGCUAAUGGCUAAUUUUAAGAGAGGAUGAGGGAUCUAUGUGGGUUAGAAAGAAAGAAGUGAGAGGCGGUGAGAGAGAAGGGAAUGAGGAAAGAAGAAAAUAAUAAAAACCCUAAACUAUGUCUUUAAUAGUGGGUUAAAGGCUGAAAAGUUUCUUUCAAAUUAUGUAAAAUAUGGGCUAAAUAGGGUAAGAGCUUCAAAUAUGAGCCAUUUUCGGUUGGGCUAUUAGGUCAAGUGACAUGUGCUGUAAUCCUUUAAAAAAAAAACGUAUUUGUAAAAUUUCCCAUAAACUUCAUUCUGAACUUACGACACUAUUUAUAUUUAAGUCCUAACAACACUCCUAGUGCUCCACCGCAAUUUAUGAAUAAAUUAUUGCAAUGUUACAAUACAACUUGUACUAUACUCUUGGUGAUUCGCCAAAAUUUAUUGCAACCUCAUCUCAUCAGAAAUUCCUGGUGAUCCGUCAUUAGUUUUGGCAAGGCGAAUUUUGUGACAUUCGCCCGAAAUCAAACUCCAACUUCUAUCUCAAAGAUAUUUCUGCACAACUUUUCAAAUGGCACCGAAAUAGCUAAGCUUAUUUGUGUAACCCAUUCAUAUAAACCUCAUCUAGUGGGUCAAGGAGCUUAUCACCAUGAACAAGUGCCUUAAAGUUUGGACUCUAAAUAUCCUAACCUUCAAAUGCUGGGCCUUAACAUGAGCCUCAAACUUGAUAAUUCUAAAACGGCAAAUCCUACGAGAAGAGAGAGAGAGAGAGCGCUUACCAUGAAAUCUCGAAGAGCGAUUGGGCCUACCACGGCUCAUUUUGGACUGUUUUUGUAAUCGUCUUUGUUCUAAUAAGCCGGAGAUCUAUCGCCGCAACAGUUCCGCGGCUGUUCACUAUUCCUUUCCGCCGUGAUAAUCGCCGCUCGUGGCGGGCCUCGGCAGUACGCUGCGGAGGUGCGACAGAUAGUUUACACCUCCUUGAAGCUACGCGGUUGAAAGUUAAAAGUUGAGUUCGAGUAAUAGAUAGCGGAGUAAGAACAGUGGCGGAUGCAAGGUAAAAGAAUUUGUCCAUAACUUUUGAAUAAACUUAUGCGUAAAAAUAUAUUAAAAUUGGAACAAAUAGUAUAUUUGUACCCAUAAUUUUAAAAAUAUAAUGGGUUCAAUAUUAAAAACCUUAAAAUUAAACCCAUAAACUUUGAAUCUUGUAUCUGCCCGAGUAAGAAUCAUUCUAAGUAAAAGAAAGCAGCAAAACGAAAAAUAUUACUACUACUAGGUGCAUAUAAGUUAAAAAAGACAGAGAGGGUAUUUGACUAAGUUGGUCAAACUGGCUUAUAAGCUUUUUUAGGUUUAUUUACGUGUUUGAUAAAUACCCAAAGUGUUUAUAAGCCAUGUGCUUAUAAGCUAAAAUCAAUCAUAAAUCAUAAGUUGGUCAUCCCCAACUUAUGGCUUUUUAGCUUAUAAACACUUUUAGUUUGACCAAAGUUUUUACUAGUUUAUCCCUAAUAAUAUUUUCUAAUUCACAAAAUAUUUUUUCCAAAAUAAAAUUUCUAACUUUCUUUUCAUUUCAUAUUCGUUUUUCAUCUUUUUCUCAACAAAGAAACUUUUUAGUUUAUAAUCUUUUGUAAAGUUUUCAAGGAUAUCUUAGUUAUUUUAAUUAAAAAAAUAAAAUAAAUUAUCAGCAUUUUUCUACCAAACAUAUUAACUGCUUAUUAUCAGUUUCAAAACGUAGACAAACAAGUAAAUACUUAUUUGAAACAUCAGUUUCAAACUUAAAAAUAUUUUUCAACACUUCAAAUUUAUCAGCUAUUUACGAUCAACUAAUCCAAACGGGCUCUUAGAUUUGACACUAAAUCAUGCAAUAGAAAAUAAAAUAUGAACGGGAGAGUAAGGCUAUAUAUAAAUUAUAAUAUAGUAAUAUACGUAAGAGGUUUUUAUUAUCCAUAAUUACCCUCGUUUUUAAGUACAAAUAUAAAUAUGAAUUGAUCUGGUCAAGCAAUUCACCUUAUUGAUAAGAUAUCUUUAUUUUUAUUUUUAUUAUAUAAUUGCACCAAAAAAGAUAAAAGGUAAGGAGACGGUGAAAAUUGAACAGUUGCAUCUUCCACCAAUAUUGCCAAAUGUAAAAUUGUAUUAUUUCCGUAAGAUUAAUCAAGAUAUGCUUAGGGGCUGUACAAAAUAUUUUUAAAGGUUGAAAUAAUUUAAGCUAAUGAGUAAUUGUUGUUGCUUCACUGUAAAAUCAUUGAGGAAUUAUUCCUAUUGUAACAAAAAAUUGUAAAAACAGAAAUACCUAUUCUAUCGAAUUACCACUAUAAGCUAUAAUGAGGUGGUAAAUAUCUCUUCAUCUUUAAUAAAAAAUUCAAAUUUCGAUUCAAAUUAUCUUUGGCAAGGAGUAUUUUACCCCAAAAUGGGACUUCCAAGUGUGAACUGGAUGAGUAUCAGAUCCUAAAGUGCACGGACGGCUCAAUGGAAUUGGUGCAUUCAUGCGCUUUACCCUUAAACCACCGCUGCUAAAGUGAAUAUUGAAUACCUAAUAAAAAAAAACAAAAAAAUCUAUCUGAGUCUAAAGGUUCUUCUAGUCGGGAAUUUAGAAUUAAAAAAAGAAAAGAAAAGUAGAACAACAAAUUUAGAAGGACUGUCUGAGUAAGAAACAAAUCCUUCAAUUUGAAAGUUCAUGUACCCAAUCCUCCUAUCCUUUAGUUCAUUUUGUAGGAUCAACAGAGAAAGAAAUUAAGCAGAGAUGCAAAAGAACAAACUAGAAACUUAAAGAAGUACAACCAACAACAACAACAACCCAGUAUAAUCCCACUUAGUGAGGUCUGGGGAGGAUAGUGUGUACGCAGACCUUACCCCUACCCUGAGGUAGAGAGGUUGUUUUCAAAUAGACCCCCGGCAUCCUUCCCUCCAAGAACUUCCCACCUUGCUCUUGGGGAGACUCGAACUCACAACCUCUUGGUUGGAAGUGGAGGUUGCUUACCAUCAUAGCAACCCCUUUUGUCUAGAAACUUAAAGAAGUAACUUAGAAAAACACCUAUUAAAUGAUCUGUUUCUUGCUUUGUUUAUAAUUUUGUGUAAUCAAGAAAAAAUAAAUAGAUCACAUACCUUUAAGGAAUAGCCAUCAUAAUCCUCUGGGGUACACCACCCAAUGCUCAAAAAGCACACAAAGAGAAAUUGUUGAUAAUUAGCUUGAGAGAGAUCUAAACAUUUGAGUUGUGAUAUUUAAGCUCACACAUUUUACAUUUAAAUAUGGGUUAUUAAAGAAGCUUUGAAUUAGUAUUCAGUCUAAUAUUGCAGCUGUCAUAUAUCGUUUUUGAAUAUG